AUACAUAAUAACUAAGUUUUAUUUAGCUACGAACUAAAAAGGAACGGUGUAAUUCCGUUUAUGUAUA
rnacentral:tRNA from 1 species